rnacentral:rRNA from 1 species
UACGGAGGGUGCAAGCGUUGUCCGGAUUUAUUGGGUUUAAAGGGUGCGUAGGCGGCUUUUUAAGUCAGUGGUGAAAUCCUACAGCUUAACUGUAGACGUGCCAUUGAUACUGGAGAGCUUGAGUACAUACGAGGUAGGCGGAAUUGACGGUGUAGCGGUGAAAUGCAUAGAUAUCGUCAAGAACACCGAUUGCGAAGGCAGCUUACUAGAAUGUAACUGACGCUGAGGCACGAAAGCGUGGGGAUCGAACAGG